rnacentral:rRNA from 1 species
GACGAACGCUGGCGGCGUGCCUAAUACAUGCAAGUCGAGCGGAUGAAAGGAAGCUUGCUUCCUAAAGUCAGCGGCGGACGGGUGAGUAACACGUGGGCAACCUGCCCCUAAGAUCGGGAUAACUUCGGGAAACCGGAGCUAAUACCGGAUAUGAUUAUGUCUCACAUGAGACAUAAUGGAAAGACGGUUUCGGCUGUCACUUAGGGCUGGGCCCGCGGCGCAUUAGCUAGUUGGUGAGGUAACGGCUCACCAAGGCGACGAUGCGUAGCCGACCUGAGAGGGUGAUCGGCCACACUGGGACUGAGACACGGCCCAGACUCCUACGGGAGGCAGCAGUAGGGAAUCUUCCGCAAUGGACGAAAGUCUGACGGAGCAACGCCGCGUGAGUGAAGAAGGUUUUCGGAUCGCAAAACUCUGUUGUUAGGGAAGAACAAGUACCAUAGUAACUGAUGGUACCUUGACGGUACCUAACCAGAAAGCCACGGCUAACUACGUGCCAGCCGCCGCGGUAAAAC